UACGUAGGGUGCAAGCGUUGCCCGGAUUUAUUGGGCGUAAAGGGCGCGUAGGCGGCUCGGCACGUCCGUUGUGAAAUCGCCCCGGCUCAACUGGGCGGGGUCAGCGAUACGCCGAGCUUGAGCAAGCUAGGGGGCAAUGGAAUUCCCGGUGUAGUGGUGGAAUGCGUAGAUAUCGGGAGGAACACCAGUGGCGAAGGCGGCAUCCUGGACCAAUACUGACGCUGAGGAGCGAAAAGCCAGGGGAGCAAACGGG
rnacentral:rRNA from 1 species